rnacentral:rRNA from 1 species
CUAAGUUUGAUGGCGACCGGCGCACGGGUGAGUAACACGUAUCCAACCUGCCGAUAACUCUGGAAUAGCCUUUCGAAAGAAAGAUUAAUACCGGAUAGUAUACGAAUAUCGCAUGAUAUUUUUAUUUAAAGAAUUUCGGUCAUCGAUGGGGAUGCGUUCCAUUAGGUUGUUGGCGGGGGUAACGGCCCACCAAGCCUUCGAUGGAUAGGGGUUCUGAGAGGAAGGUCCCCCACAUUGGAACUGAGACACGGUCCAAACUCCUACGGGAGGCAGCAUG